UACAGAGGAUGCAAGCGUUAUCCGGAAUGAUUGGGCGUAAAGCGUCUGUAGGUGGCUUUUUAAGUCCGCCGUCAAAUCCCAGGGCUCAACUCUGGACAGGCGGUGGAAACUACCAAGCUUGAGUACGGUAGGGGCAGAGGGAAUUUCCGGUUGGAGCGGUGAAAUGCGUAGAGAUCGGAAAGAACACCAACGGCGAAAGCAACUCUGCUGGGCCGACACUGACACUGAGAGACGAAAGCUAGGGGAGCGAAUGGG
rnacentral:rRNA from 1 species